rnacentral:lncRNA from 1 species
CUUUUUUAAUAUUAUCUUCCAUCAUGUUCUCUUCCAAGAGACUAGAUAUAGUUCCCUGUGCUGUACAGUAGGACCUCCUUUCUUAUGCAUUCUGCAUGUAAUAGUUUGCAUCUCCUAACUCCAAACUCCCCAUCCAUACUUCUCUCUCCCCCUCCCCCUUGGCAACCCAAGCCUGUUCGCUAUGUCUGUUACGUAUUCUCUUUUGGAGUCUAGCGUGAGAUAGGGUGGAGCUGACCCCACCUGAGUAACAGACCUAUGAGUGGGAAGGAGGAAUUAUCUAAAGGAAAAGAGCUGCUGUUGCCAGGAGGCCAGAGAACAGAUGCUGAGCAGUCAAAACCCACGAGGUCCGCUUAAGAGAGCAGGAGAAAAAGAUGGGCAAAGUAGUGUCCUCAAACUUUUGCUUUUCAAAGUCCAAAUAGCCCUGGGGUAUUUCUCAUCUAACUCAGCAGGUGGUUGUUGGGGCAAGAGGUCAUGCUGGAUUUGCCUCCCAUCUUUCCUUUCUUUCUCAGGCACUGAGUUGGGUGUUUUACCUGGUGUUACAAUCACACUUUUCUUGGUAGAACUACUUCGUGUUCAUUUAGAUGGUUUCCAUUCUGCCAGUGGUUCCAUGUCAAAGUUCGUGUGGCUUUGAUAAGUACCACAUUCAAUGUCUCAAGUGUUAAAUGACUGAGGCCAUUGUAAGUCAGGAGCACAUUAUCAUUUUCCUCAUUUCUAAAAUGAAAAUUUGGAGGGGAUACAUUCUAAGAUUUAUUCAAAGUCCAUCAUAAUAUGAGUCUAUGAUUUUAAGUUUCAGGCUAGAUCACAGCAGUUGUUUUUUAAAAGUAGAAAAACAAUUUUCUAUUUUUUUUCUUUUUUAUGCCCACAUCUGCAGCAUAUGGAAGUUCCCAGGCCAGGGGAUUGAAUCUGAGCUGCAGGUGUGACCUAUGCCACGGUGGUGGCAAUGCCGGAUCCUUUAACUCACUGCACCAGGCCAGGUAUCAAACCCAUGCCUCUGCAGUAACAUGAGUCUCUGCAGUCGGGUUCUUAACCUACUGCACCACAACAGGAACUCCUCUACUCUUUUGACAAUAUACCUUGAUUCUACACUGAGAUAAAUAUUUCUAUUUUUUUAAUUUUUAAAAAGUUAUAGAAUGGAAACAAAAACAUUAAGACUUUGUCACUCUGGCUGUCACAUUUAAGAUAGAGCCAUUCCUGGAGUUGCUAUGAGUCUAUAAAAUGUUAAGCUGGCAAAGAAAAAAAAAUGAGAGAGUAAAAUAUAUAGUACAUAUAUGUAUCUAUAUAUCCAGGGAUUUUAACUUAUGGGGGCUGGUUGCCAUUUCAACUUGUUUACCAGAAUCAACGAGUCCAGUUGCCAAAAUUGGAGGUUAAGUAUAGAACCCCAGGAAAAAUAUUUCUAAGCUUUAUUUUUAAAACACAUUUUCUUACAAAUGCUUUUGAAUAACUGACAUUUCAUUGCUUCCCUCUCUCCACUUACCUAUCCUCUGAGGAAUCUAAGCUCCUUUGAAUCAAAUUGGAGGGUUCCAGCACCAUAUUUGUCAAGUGUUUUCCUAUCAUAUUUUUAAUGAAAUAGUUAUGAGCGAUUUGAGGUUCCCCCUCCCUGUUGGAAUGUAAACUCCUUGAGGGCAAGGUCUAUUUUCCGUGUUAUUUCUUGUUGAACUCCUUGUACCUAGCACAGAGCCUGACUGAAUCCACACAUGGAAAUCUUUGGGCUCACAUUAGGCUCUUGUUAUUUUAGGGAUGCCCUUAUCAGGAAUGGCUGCCGUCAACCGUGGUUUAGGGGUUUUUCUACUAUAAUGUUUUGAAAAUGGCAGUAACUAUAGAGUUUUUGUUUAACACAUUAUUGAAAAACCUUGGGGUUCAGAGAAUGGGGAUGAUUUGAAGAGAGAGAAAGAAUUUAUUUAUAUAAGCCCUAAAGGACACUCCCUCCUCGGGGUAACUGUCCUGGGACAAGCUAGCAAUAUCACUCCUCCCCCCCCCCGCCCCCCGUAGCUUAACAUGUCUACAGGCUUGGGCACAUAAGGGGUAAGUCUUCACAAAAUUCAAUCUGCUUGAAAGUGGUAGCAGCAAUACCAUGUUUGGAGAAAUCCCAUUGUCUUAUAAAUGAAACCAAAGGAUCACAAAACCAACUAUUGAUAAUUUCUAGCUGAAAUACAACAUCUGGGCAAGAUUUCAGAGCUUCAUUUCCUCACUAUGCCAAAUGGCUCAUCUGGAAGCAGUCGGCCCAAGAUUUAAGAGGUGAUAGUGGUCCCUUUACUCAUUCAGUCCUUGGUCCCCCUGGAGCUUCCUGCCACAGCAAUGAUGAGUGAUAAUUGCUUCUGGGUUUUUGUAGUGCGGUCCAUGGUAUUUUAGGUGUUUGCUUUGACCACUAACAGAUUUCGUCUAGAACAUAUCAAUGAUGACAAUUGAUUACUUCUAACAGAUUUUGAGUUGAUUGGUGACCUGAAGGAAAAGUUCCUAUUGCCUAUUCUAUGAAGCAUAUAACUUCCUACCAUCCUUAUAGCCCUUGUUCAUUUCCCCACAUGUUGUAGUAUUUAUUUUCUGUUGUUGCUUAGGUCUAAAUAUAAAUUUGGGUUAUGGUGUCAAAUUCUUCACUUGAUCAAAAGCAACUAGUGUCCUCUGUGAACCUGCCCUUAAAGAACUGACUUAAGGAAAACUUGAUUUCCCUGAGAAGAUGUUCUUAUCUACCUAACUUUGAAAAUACAGAUACAAAUGUUUCAUACCCUUAUGGUAAAGAGAUAGGAUUUGUAGCAUGAUGGAUGAUUGAGAGCUCGGUUCUGGAAUCAGACAAACUUGAACUGGACUCCUGGGUUUGCUGCUUGUGGUUCUGACACUGAGGUGGGAUCUUUAGUGCCCAGAGUCUCUGAGUUACAAGAAGGCAUGUUUAGCACAGGGCUAAGCUUACAUAGGAAGUGGCCCAUAGAUGUUACCUUAAAAAAGAUGGAUUUUUAUUGCUAAAAAAUUAACAGAUAUACAGACAACUGAAAGAUCUUGGAAAAGAGGUAGAAGGAAUCAAGUAAACUAUUCACUGGUGUAAAAUUCAGAUAUGAUUUAUGGAGAAGGAAAAAAGUUGCAUCAAAAACAAAUUACUUUCUAAAAAAUGAUACUCCUUUAGUUUUUGUUAAGGGUCAGUUUAAGCAAGUCACAUGAAGAAUAUCUGUAUUUUUUUGUAAAAGAGCAGUAAAAGAUACCCAAUAUCAUAUUCAGAGUUUCUCAACAAUUCACAGAAAGCUCUUUUACUACAUAAUAAGAAUUAUGUAUAACCCAUUUUUUUUUUCCCUUUCACCUUGUUUUUCAAGAAGCUGAACAUUAAAUUCAGUGUUCAAAUGGUGGUAGCCAUAAUAGAGUAUUUUUUGUUCUUCUCCAUGAAUUUUUGACUUCUAUUUUAGUGUCAAUAUGUGUUUUAUCUUGCAGUGCCUACAUUUUGGGGGCAAAGAGAAAAGAUCAGUUACUUAAGGAAUGGCUUCUAGAGUUUGUCUAUAAUAUUCCAGCUUUUUUUUUUUUUCUCAAGAAAAUACCAAAAUUGGCAUUUGAAGAAUGCUUUGAACUCUUUCUGCAGAAAAGUGCUAGGUAAUGUUAACACAAUAUAUUUAUUUUCACAAGCACAAGUGAAGCUUGUUAGAUAUUCUUAUAAAGAGGGUUCCCUCUGGUAUACGGCGGAAUGAGACUUCUAUGAUGUUUGUUACUUUGUGAUAUUUCAUUUUUUUUCAAAUUUGGGCUCAAAUUAUUAGGCCCAUGUAUAUGAAAGAUUAUAUGUAAAAAUGAUGCCUAGUUUGAAUAUGGAAGAGAGUGCCUCUUUAUAUAACCACAUUCUCAUCUGGAGUAUGAGCUUACACGGGGAUCCAGGAGGCAAAAUGAUGUGUUGGGAGAAAAAAAAUCUCAAGUUUCAGAGUCAAAAUGAGGUUCAUACCCAAAUUUCAUCACCUGCUAAAUAGAUUAGCCUUACUUUUCUCUUCUGUAAAAUGGUGAUAAUAAUAUUUACUUUAUAUGGCUGUCCUGAAUAUUUACUUUGUCUGAAUCAGUGAUGACUCUUAUUUGUCUAGGCUGCUGGCCUUAUGGGAGUUGGCUAGCUCCCAGCUGCUCAGAAACUUGGGUAAGAUCUAAUGGAGUGAGUGAGGUGGGAUCAUCACAGAAACAUAAAAUGAUACUGUUCCUCAGGGUCUCGCCUAGGCAACAGCCCCUAGCAGGUCUCUCCUUCUUGGUCUUCCCACAUUCUCCGCCCUCACACAGGAGUGCUGCUGCUGUGGUGGAAUAAGAUGGGAGGUGGGAUUUUUCGGGCAGAUGCUUUACCUGGAGCUCCUUCAUUUUUUGGGAGGCACCUGCUCUCCCCGUUGUGGGAUGUGGGUGGAGCUUCUGUGUACAACUCUGCUCCCCCUGUUUUAAAGGCAGAAUUAUCCAUCACUGUGUCCACUGGGAUUAAAAAAACUUUUUUUGAUUGCUCAGCAGAGAGGCAGAAAAUUAUAUUCCUUAUUUCUAUUAAUUUCUGGAGUUGAAUCAUAUAUUAUGGAAAAGUUGGUUUAAAAGUGUACUGGCUCUACAGUAUUUUAAAGGGAUUGCUGUAAAGUAUGGUGCAUUGGAGGCAUCACAACAACGUUCAAGCCCCUGUUGCAGCCUCUCGUUGACCUGCCAAUCCCAUGUACCUGAGCAAGUGUCUGCUUUGUGCUGGGUGUCUAUAGAUCAAGGCGCUGAGGAGGGGAGAAUGAGGACAUCACCUUGACCUAUCCCUUGCACAAUACACUUUUACACUCAAAUCUAGCAUUGCUUCAAAUUAAAAAUUAUCUCACUUUGGAUUCAGAUAUUUGAAUGUAGUGAAAGACAUGAUAUUCAAGGCUUUGGGGUCAGUUUGGGCACAACUGCUUCUCCAGCCACCCUUAUUUCUUUUUUAGUGGGCACUGAGGAGACUUGUUCCGUUUUGCACCCUCAAAGUCUUUGCUUUCACAUGCUCUGGGCUCCUUGCUUGCCAACCCUUUAGUAAUCCCCUCCCCGCCCCCCCCCCCCAUUCCUCCACUCAAGAAGGCAGAAUCAGCUUGGCAAACGGAGUUAUUUUGUAAAAUGAUAUCUUUUCUUCGGCUCUCUGCUGAAAAGCUGUAGAAUUUGUGGUUGUGUUGGUGUCUCUUUUCCUGUUUGGAAAGGCUGCAUCUUUAUGAAAUCCUGUGGUGAGAUUUCUUGCAUUUGAAUUUAACAGCUUAUUGUGAACAUACUAGGAAUUUGGGAGUUCACUUAAGCACUGAACUUUUGCAUACCCCAAACCAUAAAGGUAUGCACUAGAUUACUGACAUGGUUUCCUUCUGACCCUCUCAAUUCCUUUCCCUCUAAAAUUAGAUUUUCUUGUUUGGGUUAGUAAAGCAUGCGGUUGCAGACCCUCCUAGAGCUAUUGUGAAAUAUUAGGUCUGUACUUCCGGAGGCGCUAGCCACUGGCUGUAACCCAAUUCUGAUGGGAGAGUGAGUUGUGCAUAUGACUGACAUUACAAAUGCAAUGAAAGUAAAACAACCCUCUGAAAAAAGAGCAAGCAGUUAUUUUUCAGUGGUGGGAAGAAGUUGCAGGUGUGCCUGAUGUUUUUAAAGCUCUCAAUUAUUGAUCUUGUCUUAAGACUUACAAAUAGAACCAUUAACAUGUCAGUGUUACCCGGAUAACAGAUGAUUAUUGUCCAUCUUUAAACUGUACUUAGCACUAAAAUGUAUAUGUAAUGUACUCAAAAAGGCCAGCUUUAUCACACUUCCUCAGGGUUUUACAGGAAAGAAUUCCUUCUUUCAUUCAUUUUUUCCUUGGCCCUCCUCCCUCCCCACUGCCCCCACCCCACAUUUAUUCCCUUUGCUAAGCGGUAGAAAUUCCUACUGGACAUUCCAGCCACUAGCUGGCAGACAAAACAAACACAAAAUUUACAGCUUUACGGUGGAAAUAUCUUAGGACACAACUUUUAAACCUGCAGUAACUACUGCCUUCUGAACUAUGGAGCUCAUCAUGGCGAGUGAAGCCAGUUAAAGUACUAUAACACCUAGGGAUUUUAGUUCAAUUUCACUGUAACCUCAAUUUUACUACCAUAAGUCAAGUUUGUCGUCAGAGAGCUCCACAUUACACUUGAUGGGCAGAUUCAUCUGCCUUCACUCUGUGAAUGCGGUCAAUGCAUGAGCAGCAAGGCAGUAAUACAUCUUUAUUUAAGCCAAGUCUUGGAUUCAGUCCCAAAUGACAUAAUCUCCCAUAAGCUGGGAAAUCUGGUCUAGACCACAGAAUGUUAUGGGGUGCACACCUGUUCAGAGAAGCAUAGUCAAAGGAUAGUUAACAGCAUUUCAUUAUCAUCCUCGGGGAAUAGAAUCAGUCACACUUGGCAGGAGUUGGACCUGGGCCUGGAGCUACUUGACAUUUUUAUAUAACAAAUUAAAAUAUUCGAUAGCAUUGUUGCAAGGGGAUCUAUGUUUUUGGUAAGAGUGAAGCACCAAUUUUUGUACUGUGCUACUAUCUGUUCCCAGCUGUAGUUAGGAGGGGUUAGUUGGAGAAACUAAGGCAGAUAAACCAUCUAUGAUUUAUAGUAAUACAGAUUCCUGGUGAAGAAAGCUUUGAAAAUGGAGAUGGUUGUGAGGAGGAAAUAGAAAAGAAGAGCUGGGAUGCUGUGGAGAAAGAAAUAUCAAAGACCCAGUGAUUUCACUGAGUUUGUCCAUUCGUUCAUUGAUUUUUUUCAGUUUUUACUCAUUUGUCCCUGCAUGACCAAGUGCUUAUGUUUGAGGUACUAUGGCAGGUGCUUUGGACAAUGCAAUGAAUAAGACAUGGUUCUUCACUACAGGGAAAUAGGUAGGGCUGAGAAGGGGACUCUCAAAGGUAAAAAUUAGGGAUUAGGAGAAUGGUGUUUCUUCUUUCAAGAGGAGAGGGUGGGGAGGGGGCUCUUGAAAUGAUUUGUUCUUAUGUACUGUGUUUGAGUAUGGGCCUCUCACAGAGAUGAGGAAGAAAAGCGGUGAAGGGUUAGAGCCAACCUAACCACCCACUUGGUGGCAAGAAAGUGAAACUCCAGGGCCAGAUAAGCUUCUUGAGAGAGGGACUAAGCAGUAGACUUGAAAGGGGAUCUUUGUAGCAUUGGGCGUGGGGUGAAGCAGGGGAGGGUAGCUGAUAAGGUAGGCAAUAGAGACCGAAGGAAGCCAUUUCUACCCAACCAGGUUGACCUAAAGAAACCAGUUAGGAUAAAGUUGUUAGAGAUAUCCCUAAACUCGCUGCUACAAGAUGGACAUUUAGGAAGCAAGCCUGUUGAACAGACCGCAAUUACCUGGACUCGCAUAAGAAAAUAAUCUGGAACUAGAACAGCAGUCUUGAUAAUGUGGAAGAACCAAGUGGGGCUCACACAGUUAUAUAUAUUGUCUACCGAGUGCUUUUGUGGGCACUAUGGGAAUCUCAAGACGUAAAGAAGUGUAUCAGGAGAAGAACAUUUAACACAGUUUAUGUGUUGGAACCUAUAAGAUGAAAAGAAUGCAAGUUCUUUAGAUCUCUAGUAAAGAAGGCUGAAGGGGCAAAAUGAAUAAGUUAAACAGAUGUCUAGUAACUAGAUGCCAGACUCCAUAAUAUUU